rnacentral:rRNA from 1 species
CCUACGGGGGGCAGCAGUGGGGAAUAUUGGACAAUGGGGGGAACCCUGAUCCAGCCAUGCCGCGUGUGUGAAGAAGGCCCUCGGGUUGUAAAGCACUUUCAGUGAGGAAGAACGCCUGGUGGUUAAUACCCAUCAGGAAAGACAUCACUCACAGAAGAAGCACCGGCUAACUCCGUGCCAGCAGCCGCGGUAAUACGGAGGGUGCGAGCGUUAAUCGGAAUUACUGGGCGUAAAGCGCGCGUAGGUGGCUUGAUAAGCCGGUUGUGAAAGCCCCGGGCUCAACCUGGGAACGGCAUCCGGAACUGUCAAGCUAGAGUGCAGGCAAGGAAGGUAGAAUUCCCGGUGUAGCGGUGAAAUGCGUAGAGAUCGGGAGGAAUACCAGUGGCGAAGGCGGCCUUCUGGACUGACACUGACACUGAGGUGCGAAAGCGUGGGUAGCAAACAGGAUUAGAUACCCUUGUAGUC